ACCGCAAAAGAAGCAGAGGGGGCUUAGUGGUGGGGUGACUGCGUACCUUUUGUAUAAUGGGUCAGCGACUUAUAUUCUGUAGCAAGGUUAACCGAAUAGGGGAGCCGGAGGGAAACCGAGUCUUAACCGGGCGUUAAGUUGCAGGGUAUAGACCCGAAACCCGGUGAUCUAGCCAUGGGCAGGUUGAAGGUUGGGUAACACUAACUGGAGGACCGAACCGACUAAUGUUGAAAAAUUAGCGGAUGACCUGUGGCUGGGGGUGAAAGGCCAAUCAAACCGGGAGAUAGCUGGUUCUCCCCGAAAGCUAUUUAGGUAGCGCCUCGUGAAUUCAUCUCCGGGGGUAGAGCACUGUUUCGGCUAGGGGGCCAUCCCGGCUUACCAACCCGAUGCAAACUGCGAAUACCGGAGAAUGUUAUCACGGGAGACACACGGCGGGUGCUAACGUCCGUCGUGAAGAGGGAAACAACCCAGACCGCCAGCUAAGGUCCCAAAGUCAUGGUUAAGUGGGAAACGAUGUGGGAAGGCCCAGACAGCCAGGAUGUUGGCUUAGAAGCAGCCAUCAUUUAAAGAAAGCGUAAUAGCUCACUGGUCGAGUCGGCCUGCGCGGAAGAUGUAACGGGGCUAAACCAUGCACCGAAGCUGCGGCAGCGAACGUAUCACUUAAAGCGAUUCAGCGGGUUACGAUUGACG
rnacentral:rRNA from 1 species